UGUAAGCGAGUCGCCCCAAUUAAAUGUUUUCCUUAUAAGAGUUGUCCUGGGGCUGGAGAGAUGGCUCAGCCGUUAAAGGCUAGGCUCACAACCAAAAAUA
rnacentral:miRNA from 1 species